UAUUUUUUUCAUUUUUUUUUUAGUAAAAAUAUUUUUCAAUUAAAUAUCAAAAUAUCAAUUGUUUUAAUCUCUCUAAUAUUAAGAAUAAAGUAAAUUUUAAACUAUUCUAAUAAUUUUAUUUUUUUUUAUGAAGUGGGAACCGCAGCCGCGAACCAUGUGUGGCAGGCGGCCUGAGGUAUCGGGAGUUUGAACCCAUGACUUCACGAUUACAAAUUCAAUCCUUACACCACCAGAUAAAAGACGGAAAGAAGUAUUUAUUUUGUAAAAAAUGGAAGAAAUGAAUUUGUUGGAGAUGAGGAAGAUGGAGAAGGCAAAAAUGGAAAAGCUCAAAACCUCGAAGAGUGGCGUUGACAGAGUAGCCACGUUGAAGAAGCUUCAUGAUCAACCACGACGCCACGAAGCCUUCUCCUCCACUUACGCAAACAGAUCUCUUCUUCUUCCUCUCAUCUUCUGCAUCUAAUUCCAUGGCUGAAUUUAUCAUUAAUCUUCUUCUCACCUGCAACCAAAUCUGUUCAUAUGUUGCUUCGAAGAAGAAGAAGAAGAAAGGGCCACAGAAGUACCUUCUCGAUCGAUCUGACUUUCAAUCAUAUAUGAAUUCUCUCCCUCCUCACUUAAAUAUAUUUACUUUCUCCCGUCCCGGUGAAAGAUUGUCGUUUACUUUUUACAUACUCUCUUCAUCUCAAUACAAUAGUCUUGUUUACCA